GGGAGAAAUCCUUCCAGAAGAAUUUGCAGGCGUGGAUUGGGUUUUAGCUGCAGUCCUGCCCUUCUGGCAGCUUCUGGCCACCACGAGAGAAUCGGCAUCACCACGUCCAGCUGAUAUCAUUCCAGAUCACUGCAAAGGAAUGUGAAGUAUCAAUCAGCCCAAGUGAUCUUUUCAGGAGCAUCUUCACCAUGCCGUGAGACUCUUAGAAAUUGCAAAAGUGCUUAGGAGUCUACAGAAAACUCUCAGCCAACCCUGUGGCUCUGAGAUCCCGGUCCUGUGCAUCCUUACCCCUGCCAGGUUACCUGAAGAAUGGCAGUCUUUAUCUGUCUUCCGACUGCUGUAGCUCACUGCAGACCACCCACGGACCAGGCUCCGCACUGAGACCAAUUAGGGCAGAAGAAUAGUACAAUUUCCAAGAUGUUCACUUGGUUCUGGCCCCAGAAACACAUGAAGUGGGGACACGAGCCUCUCUGUGACUGUGCAAAGCAAGUCCAGAUGGCACGAGAUGCCAAGAAAUCCUGGGGUUACCCCUUGGGGUGCCCCCUCCAAGGGCAGGCACAGCCCAGGCCUGGUGCACUUCCGGAUGGCUGUCUGAAACAGCCCAGAACCACCAGCCUGUAAAGAAAACACAGUGAAUGCUGUUAGAUCAUGUCAACUUUAAUGUGCUCCCAUAGUAUUAAAAACACAUCUGCAAGGAAACUUUUGACUCUUCAAAGGCUCCCUACAGGCAAAAAUUUCCCUUAAGCCUCAUUCAGGAGGAAGAAAGAGGAAGACAGAAGAAGACCUCAUGAAGUUAGAGAGAGAGAUUGGGACAAAUCUGAAGUCAACCAGAAAGAUGGGGAUGGAGGGACCAGGACCGGAGGCUCAUUACUCACACCAGUUUCUGCCAGAGGAUACAGGCGGGGACUGUGUGCCCAAGGAGACUGUCCAGAAGUUAAGAGCAGGACGGCUCCAUACAGUUGGGCAGGUUGUGCACGGCAGCAGGGCACCCUCCCCUCCCCAGCAAGGUGGUGCCAAUCACCUCUUAGAUAUGGUAGAUUUAUAUAUUUAUUCCAUUUCUCUGGACUGGGAUAAAAUGUCUAAUAAUCAAUGUAUUAUAACACUUUUCCAACAGAUAGAAGUAACAUGUCUUGGGGAAGAAGCCCCUUUUUCUAAUCUGCCCAGAGGUGCUCUGUGACUUGUGAUAACCCUGAGGGAAGUUACUCUUAUUUGGGAAGCCCUGGGCAGUGUUUGGAUAUUGGGGUAUAUGGCAGAUUCCAUGUUUGUCACACAGAUGCCAAGAUCAAGUUCAUGUAAUCAAAGGGAACAUAAAUCAGCAAGGAGAAUAUUUCUAUACCCAUCUGAUUAACACAAGUUGAAAUAAUUGAUAAUAUCCUCUGUAGUGAAGCUGCAGGAAAACACAUACUUUCACGCACUGAUGGUGAACAUAUAACUCAUACAGACUCUUGAAGGGAGAAUUUGGCAGUAUUUAUUACAAAGCAUAUAUUCUUCCACUUAGUACUUUCUUUCCCUUCUAGUAAUCCACCUUGGGGAAACUAUCACAUAUGUGAACAGAGAUACAUGGUACAAAAAUUAUUGUUGUUAGUUAAGUCAUGUCCAACUCUUUGGCCACCCCAUGGACUAUAGCCCACCAGGUUUCUCUGUCCAUGGGAUUUCCCAGGCAAGAAUACUACAGUGGGUUGCCAUUUCCUUCUCCAGAGGAUCUUCCCGACCCAGGGAUCGAACCUGCAUGUCCUGCAUUGGCAGGUGGGUUCUUUACCACUGAGCCACCAGGGAAGCCCCAUAUACAAAAGUACUCCUGUAAUAAUGAAAAAUUAGGAAUGAGUUUAACAUCCAGAAAUAAGGCAAGAAGGUAUAAACUGGAGUAGUUGGUCCAUGGAAUAGGCAGGGGUGAAAAAUCCUGGAAUAGUGUUAUCAGUUCUCAUAAACUCCUAUGAGUACAAACUAAAAGGAGAAUUGUAUUUCUCACUGGACUCAUGUAAACAUACAGGGAAAGGUCUGAAUAGACACUCUUCAAUCUGUUGACAGUGGUCGUGGCUAGGAAGAGAAGUCAACUUUUGCUGUAUUUAUUCAAAUUUUCAUAAAUGAGCCUUCCUCCUUCCCCUAAAGAGUCGAGUGGUUUAGCUCAUUGAACUCUGAGGUUGGACUGAUUUGAAUUCAAACCUUGGUCUUUGUUUUCUUAAGCAUCUGACUGAGCAGUUAAUGAUGUAAGCAUUAAAUGAGAAAAAUCCAUAUAAUAUGCUUAAUGCAAUACAUAGCAUAUGAGACUGGCUCUAUUAGCAUUGCUUAUAUCUUGGAAUCUCUUCUCUCUCCUUGCCCCCAACCCUUUCAGAGCCUGAGUAGACACUAAUAAGUGUUUGAUGAGUGAAUAAGGUGGCUCAUUCCAAGAUUUUUUCUGAAUAUAAAGAAAUAUGAAGAGAAUAGGCUUAGAGAGGCAGAUCUUACCAUUUUCACAUUUCCUCCAACUCAAAGUGUUUUUCAGACUGUAGAUUACACUCAAUUGAUGGGCUAUAAGUCAAUUUAUGGAACAGCAACCGACAUUUAAAAAAUACAGAAUAGAAAAUAUCAAAGUGUAAGUAAGAAGUACUAUUACAUCAACUUCAUUUUGUGGAUGUGUGUACUAGGUUGCAAGGUAAGAUUAAUCAUGGUAAAAAUUACAUGGGGAAACCCUGCUUCAAGUGCAGCCUUAUUCUAUUACAGUCUGAGCAUGUGGUUCCCAGCCUCUGCUGCCCAAUUGUCUGCUAAACAUCAUGGGUCAAGGGGAAGCAUCAUCUGAUAAAGCAGCCACGUGAACCUAUUGGAUGGACAUCCAACAGUGUCCACACGACAGCAUUCUCUCUUCCUGCCUCCCAGGAUUCAUCAGGAUGAUUCUGACACUCGGGAGAAUAGGAAUCCCCAGCCCCAUAUGGGUUUCCAAGGGCUGCUAUAGCAAAGUACCACAGACUGGGUCAGACAGUAAAGAAUCCGCCUGCAAUGCGGGAGACCUGGGUUCGAUCCCUGGGUUGGGACGAUCCCCUGGAGAAGGGAAAGGCUACCCACUCCAGUAUCAUGGCCUGGAGAAUUCCAUGGACUGUACAGUCCAUGGGGUCGCAAAGAGCCAGACACUACUGAUUGACUUUCACGUUCACAAACUGGGUGACUUAAAACAAAAUAAAAGUAUUCUUUCACUAUUUAGGAGGCUAGAAUUCAUCAAGAUGUCAUCAGAGUCGGUGUCUUCUGGAGCCUCCAAGGGAAAAUCUUUUCCAUGCCUCUCUCCAGCUACUGGUGAUUGCUAGAAAGCCUUGGUUAUUCCUUGGCUGUGGCAGUUAUAACUCCCAUUGCCACCUUCUUCGUCUUCACCUUGCGUUCUCAGCCCUCUGUUUCUAUGUAUUUCUGUUUCUAAACUUCCUUCUUCUUAUAAUGACACCAGUCACUUGACCGUUCAUGCUGUUGUUCAGUUGCUAUGUCAUGUCCGACUCUUUGAGACCUCAUGGACUGCGUGCAGCACACCCGGCUCCUCUGUCUUCCACCGUCUCUCAGACUUUGCUCAAAUUCAGGUCCAUUGAGUCAGUGAUGGUGUCCAACUAUCUCACUUGAUUAGGUCCACCCUAAUCCAUUAUGACCAUCAUCUUGAUUAUAUCUCCAAAAGCUCUAUUUCCAAGUAAGACCAUAUGCACAGCUUUUGGAGGACAUGAACUUUUUGAGGGACACUGGAGAAGGCAAUGGCACCCCACUCCAGUGCUCUUGCCUCGAAAAUCCCAUGGACAGAAGAGCCUGGUGGGCUGCGGUCCAUGGGGUUGCAUAGAGUCGGACAUAACUGAGUGACUUCACUUUCACAUUCUACUUUCAUACAUUGGAGAAGGAAAUGGUAGCCCACUCCAUUGUUCUUGCCUGGAGAAUCCCAGGGAUGGGGGAGCCUGGUGGGCUGCCGUCUCUGGGGUCGCACAGAGUCGGACACGACAGAAGCCACUUAGCAGCAGCAGUAGCAGCAGCAGCCGGUGCAAUAUCUCUAGCCCCAAAGAGAGAAAGGAACCACAUGAAUACUUCCUUCUGGAGGAGAAUCAGGAUGGAAGUGAUAAUGAAGUCCUUCUCUGGCCUCUGUGCUCUGAGCAUCGGACUGGGGGCCUAGAACUCAAGACGCUUGGAAUAGAAGGGACAAGUUCUACACCAUGGAACCCAUAUCCACAGCUUUGGAACAGCUAGAAGGGUUUUCCUAGUUGGUAAUAAGAUUUGGGCCAUUGAACUUCCCUGGUGAUACAGUGGAUAAGAAUACACCUGCCAAUGCAGACGACACAGAUUCUAUCCCUGGUCUGGGAAAAUUCCACAAGCCAUGAAGGCAACUAAGCCUGUGUGCCGAAACCACUGAGCCUGAGGGCUGGAACUCCCAAAUUGCAGAGCCUGUGCUCCAAAACAAGAGAAGCCACCGCAGUGAGAAGCCUGUGCGCCACAGCAAAGAGGAGCCCCCGUUCACCGCGUGUAGAGAAAGUCAGUGUGCAGCAAUGAAGACCCGGUGCAACCAAAAAUAAAAAAUAAUUUUAAAAAACGUUUGUACCAUCAUCAUUAUCACUGACCAUUAUCAGUCUAUGACCAUUAUCACAGACUGAAGGUUUUUUCUUGGGGGGCAUUGAGAUCACAGCCACCAUCUUCUCAUAUUAUAGUUGAAAAAAAACUGAAGUCCAGGGAAGCUAAAUUUGUUUCCUUAAGUCACAUGGUUGGUGAGUGGUCAAGUGAGGUCAAGAGCCCAGCACUGGACGCUGCCCAGUGCCCUUCAUACAUGGCCAUUUGUCUUUUUUUUUUUUUUUUUCUCUGAAUACUUAAUUCUAAAAACAAUGGUGGCACCUACAGGCGGCUUGCAGGAAUGGAGGAGAAUUUAGUUCUUUCACAGUGUUCAGCCUCCUCACAAAGGCAUCUCAAAUUUUUAGAAAAUAUGUUAUUUGAUAAAGAUUGCUUCAACCUUAUAAAAGUGUGAAAACAAUGUAUAUCAGCAUCUUUAGAAAAUUCUGUGAAUGUUUUUGUUGUUGAAACAUUUUGCCUAAACUGAUUCGGUCUGCUUGAUGCAGUCUGUAACUCUUGCAGCUUUGGUCCAUGACCCUUAGUCACCCCUUCCUUUCCAACCAGGCUGUCCCCCACAAACCCCUCCAAUAGAAUUCAAGAG
ensembl:lncRNA